rnacentral:rRNA from 1 species
GAGUUUGAUCAUGGCUCAGGAUGAACGCUGACAGAAUGCUUAACACAUGCAAGUCUACUUGAUCCUUCGGGUGAAGGUGGCGGACGGGUGAGUAACGCGUAAAGAACUUGCCUUACAGACUGGGACAACAUUUGGAGACGAAUGCUAAUACCGGAUAUUAUGAUUGGGUCGCAUGAUCUGGUUAUGAAAGCUAUAUGCGCUGUGAGAGAGCUUUGCGUCCCAUUAGUUAGUUGGUGAGGUAACGGCUCACCAAGACGAUGAUGGGUAGCCGGCCUGAGAGGGUGAACGGCCACAAGGGGACUGAGACACGGCCCUUACUCCUACGGGAGGCAGCAGUGGGGAAUAUUGGACAAUGGACCAAAAGUCUGAUCCAGCAAUUCUGUGUGCACGAUGAAGUUUUUCGGAAUGUAAAGUGCUUUCAGUUGGGAAGAAGUCAGUGACGGUACCAACAGAAGAAGCGACGGCUAAAUACGUGCCAGCAGCCGCGGUAAUACGUAUGUCGCAAGCGUUAUCCGGAUUUAUUGGGCGUAAAGCGCGUCUAGGCGGCUUAGUAAGUCUGAUGUGAAAAUGCGGGGCUCAACCCCGUAUUGCGUUGGAAACUGCUAAACUAGAGUACUGGAGAGGUAGGCGGAACUACAAGUGUAGAGGUGAAAUUCGUAGAUAUUUGUAGGAAUGCCGAUGGGGAAGCCAGCCUACUGGACAGAUACUGACGCUAAAGCGCGAAAGCGUGGGUAGCAAACAGGAUUAGAUACCCUGGUAGUCCACGCCGU